UCAAAUUGAAUACAAAUGCCAUCGGAGGUUCAAGUUGAUUUUUGCUAACUUUGUUGUCCCACAUUGAACACACAGAGAUGCAUCAUGGACAAGGCAAGGAAGGGGAAAAAAAAAGAAGAAAGCAGCUAGUAGUAAAGUAGAAAACGAAAAAGCAAGGUGUAAAAGGCCGCACAAGGACUCCGAACAAGCACCAUCUGCUCGGAGGAUGACCAAAUCUCAGCAUAGAGAUAUGGAUGCGCAGAAGGUGAGCUCGGUUAAUUAAAAUUACUUGUGUUAUUAUCAUGGAUGUUUAUUUUAGUAAGUAUGCGACUGGUUUGAGUAUUUAUCAAGCAUAUGACGAUAUCUAGGAAUAUAGCCCCAACUGUGGUUAUAAAAAUUAUUCCUCUCCUCUCAAGCAUGAUAAAGUGUUUUAUAUAUGUUGUUUUUCAUAUCCUGCUGUGUCGCUUAUAUCUCUUAAUCCGCUAAAUGUAUACACGUCAAAAAUGCAGGCCUGGUACGAGGAGAAAGUUGCCUAUUCGUAGAAGCCGAUCUGGAAGUGGCAUUAAAAAAGCACUUCCAAGAGAGAGUGUCCCAAAAAGCAAGGGGACACCUUUUGAGAAACAAAUUAGAGCAUGGAUACUUAACUCGUCCUUGAACAAAGAGCAACAUUUGGUAUCCUAUGAAGGUCGAGAACAUCUGGUAUUACAAAGGAAGGACUUAUGUACCUUGAAAGCCCGCAGUUGGGUCAACAGCACGGUCAUUCAAUGGAUGUGCUACUCCUUCAACAACAUCGAAUCAUCUAGAUUCAAGCGAGAUUUCUAUUGCGUUUGUUCAGGGAUAUUGGUAAUUACACUCUACUAAUUAUAAUAUGUGUCAGAUUUUGUAAGGAUUCUUACUAGUUGUGGGUUUGCAGGAAUCAGUCACAUGAAAUGAUAAUCUGGCAUCAUUCAUUGACAGUGCAAGUCCAAUGUAUGUGGAGCUUGGUCCAAGCUUUGGUGAGGAUAAUAGGUUUUUUGACAAAGUCGAAGCUGCAAAGAGAAAAUGGGUCAGUUGUAAUCUUUUUUAAAUACUCUGCACUUACGAUAUAUUAGACAACUCGUAAAAUUUUGAACAUCCUUGGUUUGUUUUUCCUGGUUAUGUUGCAUGAGUUGCAUGUGAUUAUUUUGUUACCAAAAGUAGCACCACUCUCUCUUAUUAUAUUCAAAAUAAACUUGUAAAGAUCUCCCUUCAUGCUGUAUGUGUUAUUUAACAUGGACAAGGAUGGUCCGUUUGG